GUGCUUGCUUUGGCAGCACAUAUACUAAAAUUGGAACGCUAUGGAGAAGAUUAGCAUGGCCCCUGUGCAAGGAUGACACACAAAUUCAUGAAGCAUUUCAUAUUUUU
ensembl:snRNA U6 U6 spliceosomal RNA